rnacentral:lncRNA from 1 species
AAGCAUAAGCGUGUGCAUCACAGUUGUAGUCACAAUUCCUAAAGAAAGAAUAGUUUGAAUGUCCAAGCCUGCUAUCUUGGCUACCUCCAAUUGCUGAAUCAACGACUGUCAGACUUCUUCAUGUGAGGCUUUGCCAAUGAAACAAAAUUAAAAAAAAAAUUCCAAAAUGGGCAGACAAUACAAACAAAAUGAGUCUUCUCUGGUACCCUGAAAUCGAUAUGGGCCGUCCAUUUUCCAUAAUCCUAGGGUGCAGAUCGAUGCAUAUUUUCCUGACAAAAUGAGCAGUAUAUGGAUUUUUUUUCCGCACGGGCCGGCCCAAACCCCGUCGUCUCACCCCGUCGUGCCCGCUCCCUCCCCCGAUCCAGUGCCGCCGCCCUCCUCUCCCCCAUCCAACGCCGCCGCGCCCUCCCGCCCUGCGCCCUCCUCUCCCCGAUCAAAGGCUGCCGCCGCGCCCUCCCGUCCCCACCAGCUCCUCGAUGACCCACCGGGAAGCAGCCCGCCACCUGUACCCACCGCCCCGGCGCCGAUCGAGGCGCCCGUCGCCGCGCCUCCCGACCCCGUUGGAAAGGCUCGAAGGACCAGCGGCUGCGCCGUCCAAGGCAACGGCGACUUGCGAUUGCACAUGUUCCUUUGCUGAAGAAAGUUCCUGAAGCAACAUGCGACUGAACCUGCUAUUUUUCUGAAGACCGAGUUGUUGCUUUGGUGUACAGGAUUUUUCUUAUGAUGUUCUAUAGCUUUGCUGUAAAGACCUAAAUCAAGGCAUAGAUCCUUGCUGUUUUGAUUUACCUGAAUCAAUUUGUUGCUUGUGUUGGUCUUCAAAUUGAUAUACUUGAAUAAAUGUGAAUUUACAAGGAAAUCUUUGCUGUUUCAUGCCAUGAUAUCGCUCGGCAUCUUGAAAUUGCAGUUUGCUUGCAAAUCUCCAUGGAUUUUAACCUGUUAAAAGUAAAGCAUGGUGCAUAUAUGCCAUGAACUAGACAACAAUCUUUCAAAACAUUCGUUGGAUGUAGGCA